GCCCAGCUUGUCACACUGUGCUCAGGGUGUCACAUAGUGAACUCAGAGUGUCAUACUGUGCUCAGGAUGUGAGGUAAUGGGGCUCGGGGUGACACAUAGUGAACCCAGGGUGUCACAUAUUGUGCUCAGGGUGUCACUUCUUGAGCCCAGGAUGUCACAUAUUGAGCCUGGAGUGUCCCAUAUUGAGCCCAGGCUGUCACAUAUUGAGCUCAGAGUGUCAUACAGUGCUCAGGGUGUGAGAUAACGGGGCUCAGGGUGUCACUUCUUGAGCCCAGGGUGUCACAGAUUGAGCCCAGGCUGUCACAUAUUGUGCUCAGGGUGUCACAUAGUGAGCUCAGAGUGUCAUACAGUGCUCAGGGUGUGAGAUAAUGGUGUUUGGGGUGACACAUAGUGAACCCAGGGUGUCAGAUAUUGUGCUCAGGGUGUCACAUAGUGAGCUCAGAGUGUCAUACAGUGCUCAGAGUGUGAGGUAACGGGGCUCAGGGUGUCACUUCUUGAGCCCAGGAUGUCACAUAUUGUGCUCAUGGUGUGAGAUAAUGGUGCUUGGGGUGUCACAUACGAGCUCAGGGUGUCACAUAUUGAGCCCAGCAUGUCACACUGUGCUCAGGGUGUCACAUAGUGAACUCAGAGUGUCAUACUGUGCUCAGGAUGUGAGGUAAUGGGGCUUGGGGUGACACAUAGUGAGCCCAGGGUGUCACAUAUUGUGCUCAGGGUGUCCCAUAUUGAGCUCAAGGGUGUCACAUAUUGUGAGCAGGGUGUCACUUAUGGAGCCCAGGGUGUCACAUAUUGUGCUCUGAGUGUCACAUAUUGAGCCCAGGGUGUCACAUAGUGACCCCUGGAUGUCACAUAUUGAGCUCAGGGUGUCACAUAUUGAGCCCAGCAUGUCACACUGUGCUCAGGGUGUCACAUAUUGAGCUCAGAGUGUCAUCCUGUGCUCAGGGUGUGAGCUAACGGGGCUCAGGGUGUCACGUAUUGAGCCCAGGAUGUCACACUGUGCUCUGGGUGUCACAUAUUGAGCCCAGGGUGUGACAUAUUGUGCUCAGGCUGUCACACACUGCACUCAGGGUGCAGCACGCUGUGCUCACUGUGUCACAUACCAGACCUGAGCUGUGCUGGGUGCACUGACCCAACUCUUUCCCCCCUGUUUGGGGAUCACAGGGUGAACUUUCCCAUCCUGCAGGCGCUGUCACUGCAUCCCAGCACUGCAGGCUCCUGGUGCAGCACUGCAGGGAGAAAUGCUGAACACGGAGCCACUCCAUGGAGCAGCUUGUCUUUGCUCUCAGUGCUGCUGGGGUUUUCACUCUGAGGCCUCUGGCUGUUACCAACAGGGUGGGAUAAGCCAUCGCCACUGGUCCUUGUGAGCAGAAAGCCCUGACACCAUGCCAGCAGUGCCUUUCCAGUGGGAAUUCAGGUUGGAAUUGGGAACAGCCUGUGCUGCAAAGAGCCGUCAGCACUGCACAGCUGCCCAGGGCAGCGGGGAGCCCCCAUCCCUGGGGGUGUUCAGUGAGCACAGGGAUGUGGCACUGGGGGA